ACUCAAAUGAAUUGACGGGGGCCCGCACAAGCGGCGGAGCAUGUGGCUUAAUUCGACGCAACGCGAAGAACCUUACCAAGGCUUGACAUCAUAUUGACAAGUACAGAAAUGUACCUCCUUCGGGCAAUAUGACAGGUGGUGCAUGGCUGUCGUCAGCUCGUGUCGUGAGAUGUUGGGUUAAGUCCCGCAACGAGCGCAACCCUUGUCCUAUGUUGCUACCAUUUAAGGUGGGCACUCUUAGGAGACUGCCAGUGUGAAACUGGAGGAAGGUGGGGAUGACGUCAAGUCAUCAUGCCCUUUAUGUCUUGGGCUGCACACGUGCUACAAUGGUCGAUACAAAGAGGUGCGAUACCGUGAGGUGGAGCGAAUCUCAUAAAGUCGAUCUAAGUCCGGAUUGAAGGCUGAAACUCGCCUUCAUGAAGUCGGAGUCGCUAGUAAUCGUGGAUCAGCACGCCACGGUGAAUACGUUCCCGGGCCUUGUACACACCGCCCGU
rnacentral:rRNA from 1 species